UAAGGAAUAUUGGACAAUGGAGGCAACUCUGAUCCAGCCAUGCCGCGUGAAGGAAUAAGGCCCUAUGGGUUGUAAACUUCUUUUAGACGGGACAAAACCCCUUUACGUGUAAAGGGUUGAUGUUACUGUCAGAAUAAGCAUCGGCUAACUUCGUGCCAGCAGCCGCGGUAAUACGAAGGAUGCAAGCGUUAUCCGGAAUUAUUGGGUUUAAAGGGUGCGUAGGCGGACUAAUAAGUCAGUGGUGAAAGCCUGCAGCUUAACUGCAGGAUUGCCAUUGAUACUGUUAGUCUUGAUUACAUUGGAGGUAGGCAGAAUGUGUCAUGUAGCGGUGAAAUGCUUAGAUAUGACACAGAACACCGAUUGCGAAGGCAGCUUGCUAAGCUGUAACUGACGCUGAGGCACGAAAGCGUGGGGAGCAAACA
rnacentral:rRNA from 1 species